GGCGUUUUAGACGUGGUGGUGGUGUGGCCUACAAACUGAGCAGAGGGAGGGUAGCUAACAGAUUAGUGUGUGAAAACGACCUCAAACUGUUCGAUGAAAUUCCUGAACGAGUUCCUGUAUCGCCAGGCCAUGCCUAGCUAAUGGGCCUGGUAGAAACUGCAGUUUUAACCAAGACAACCAGAAUUGCAUAUGUUCAGGUUAUGUUCUCAUCAACAUGAAUUGCUUUCUGUACUAUUUACAUUUUAGAAAACAAUAAUAGAGAAAAAUGUUAAUAAAAAAAAGAUGGAAAAAAAAUGUGCCUAUUGAGAAGCAACUGAGGAGAAGGAAGAACAAGAUGAUGAAGAAGAUAGGGGUGGUGAGUGAUAACAAGUACAUUUCAGGUCAUGAAUGGCCCGUUUCCUUGUGAGAUCGAGUUUUGUACAGAAAACACAGAACCGUCCUUCAAGAUCAUCUUCACUUUCCUCAUAGUCAGCAUCUGUGCUAUCUUCUUCAAAAUUUUCCUCAGCUGCAAUUCUCCAAUCAUUACUUGUGUAGUACACCAAUCCCAACAUUGGAAGAAGAACCAUCAGAAUUUUAUCUAUACGAUCAUCAUACCAUUUGUUUAACUUCUUCCAGAACAUUAAAGGUGCAACAACAGCUGCUGCUCCUACCCCAAACCCCAUGCCAGGGACUAUGAACUGCCAAUCAACUCCAUUCCUUUUUUUGAUGGUUUGUCCAGCGGGUGCUAAUGAAUUGGUAUGUGAGCAAGAUUUUGACAACUGAGGCCCACAUAA
rnacentral:misc_RNA from 1 species